CGUUUGCCGUGAAAACCUGCGGCUUAACCGUGGGCGUGCGGUGGAUACGGGCACACUUGAGUUCGGUAGGGGAGACUGGAAUUCCUGGUGUAGCGGUGGAAUGCGCAGAUAUCAGGAGGAACACCAGUGGCGAAGGCGGGUCUUUGGGCCGAAACUGACGCUGAGGAGCGAAAGCGUGGGGAGCGAACAGGAUUAGAUACCCUGGUAGACACGCCGUA
rnacentral:rRNA from 1 species